UACAGAGGUCUCGAGCGUUGUUCGGAUUCAUUGGGCGUAAAGGGUGCGUAGGUGGCGCUGUAAGUCGGGUGUGAAAUCCUGGGGCUUAACCCCGGAACUGCAUUCGAUACUGCAGUGCUUGAGGACUGGAGAGGAGACUGGAAUUCAUGGUGUAGCAGUGAAAUGCGUAGAGAUCAUGAGGAAGACCAGUGGCGAAGGCGGGUCUCUGGACAGUUCCUGACACUGAGGCACGAAGGUCAGGGGAGCAAACGGG
rnacentral:rRNA from 1 species